UACAGAGGUCUCAAGCGUUGUUCGGAUUCAUUGGGCGUAAAGGGCGCGUAGGCUGCGGGGUAAGUCGGGUGUGAAAUCUCAGAGCUCAACUCUGAAACUGCACCAUCGAUAGCUGCUUUGCUUGAGGACUGGAGAGGAGAUUGGAAUUCACGGUGUAGCAGUGAAAUGCGUAGAUAUCGUGAGGAAGACCAGUGGCGAAGGCGGAUCUCUGGACAGCUCCUGACGCUGAGGCGCGAAGGCUAGGGGAGCAAACGGG
rnacentral:rRNA from 1 species